rnacentral:rRNA from 1 species
CCCUUAGAUGUCCUGGGCCGCUCGCGCGCUACACUGAACGGAUCAGCGCGUUUUCCCUUCCCGAGAGGGACGGGUAACCUGCUGAACCCCGUUCGUGGUAGGGAUCGGGGCUUGCAAUUAUUCCCCGUGAACCAGGAAUGCCCAGUAAGUGCAAGUCAUAAGCUUGCGUUGAUUACGUCCCUGCCCUUUGUACACACCGCCCGUCGCUACUACCGAUUGAACGUUUUAGUGAGGUACUCGGACUGAGCCUCAGAAGAUUCACGUCUUUUGUGCUGCUCGGGAAGAUUCCCAAACUUGAGCGUUUAGAGGAAGUAAAANUCGUANCA